rnacentral:rRNA from 1 species
CGGAGGUGGCAAGCGUUGUUCGGAAUCACUGGGCGUAAAGGGCGCGUAGGCGGGGUCGGAAGUCGGGUGUGAAAGCCCCGGGCUCAACCCGGGAACGGCGCUCGAGACUCCGGCUCUUGAGUCCCGGAGAGGCGGGUGGAAUUCCUGUGUAGCGGUGAAAUGUGUAGAGAUCAGGAGGAACACCGGUGGCGUAGGCGGCCCGCUGGACGGAGACUGACGCUGAGGCGCGAAAGCGUGGGGAGCAAACGGGAUUAGAUACCCCGGUAGUCCACGCGGUAAACGAUGGGGGCUAGGUGUGGGGGGGUAUCGACCCCCUCCGUGCCGAAGCUAACGCAUUAAGCCCCCCGCCUGGGGAGUACGGCCGCAAGGUUG